CACACUACAAAGCACAAUCUAUGUGCGAAUUUUUCCUCUACACUCUCUCUUUCGUAUUGACUUCUGUCACCCCAAUUCCCAGACAUAAAUACUCAGCUAGCUACUACUUCAAAACAUAACCAAAGAUCUGAACUUUGAGCCUCUCAGGUGAAGUUUUCAACCAUGGCUGCUUCUUUGGAAAACUAAGGGUGAAUUGUAAUUACUGAUAUCUUCAAACUUUUGGAGAAAAAGGUGAAGAACACAGUCAGUAUCUGUGGGUGCAGCAACAUCAAGAUUCACACCUCCAAAGGACUUCACAAGUGCACAUGUUUAUACAUAUAUACAUACCUAUGUGUUGGCUAUGGAAGUUCCAAUAAAGAAGUGAGAAUCUUGAUGAUGCUGCACCGGCAAAUAAAUGGCUAGAAUUUCCGAUUCAGAUCAAAGGAGGCAUACAGUGAGGAAAUUAAUUAUCAAUCCAGGCUCAGAUGCAUGUCAGAAGAGACCGGUCGAUUUAGCAUUCUAUGGAGGAAUGGGUUCAAACAAUUUGGUGGGAUUGUGCUAAAUCUGCUAGAAAAUGGUCACAAAGGUCAAUUAUAUGUAAGGAUCCUACAGGUAAGAAUUUUAACCCUAAUUCUAUUUUACACAUUUACAUCUGGAAUGAAGAACUUUGCAACAUUAAAAGAAGAAGAAAGAAAGUGGAGGAGGAGCCCCACUACUUAAGGUACUUCAAUCCUUACAUAUAUAAUAUAUAGAUAUAUAAAAUAAAGCAUUUAAUUAUCAAUUCUAAUCAAAAUUAACUUCAUAAACACAAGCCUUGAUGCAUUAAUGUAUAUCUCACUAUGAAAUUCUUACUAUCAAUGCAGUUGUAACCUUUUCAAUGGCUCUCACAGUGAACAUUAGUUUUCUCACAAUCUGGCAACUUGUGCUAAGAUAUUGUUCAUAAACAUCUUUCAAAAAAGUUAAAAAUA